rnacentral:rRNA from 1 species
AUGCAAGUCGAACGGACUUAAUCGAUUCUUUUAGAUUCGAAGCGGUUAGUGGCGGACUGGUGAGUAACACGUAAGCAACCUGCCUGUUAGAGGGGAAUAACAGUGAGAAAUCACUGCUAAAACCGCAUAUGCCGUGAACAUCGCAUGAUGAAAACGGGAAAAGAGCAAUCUGCUAAUAGAUGGGCUUGCGUCUGAUUAGCUAGUUGGUGUGGUAAAGGCAUACCAAGGCAACGAUCAGUAGCCGGACUGAGAGGUUGAACGGCCACAUUGGGACUGAGAUACGGCCCAGACUCCUACGGGAGGCAGCAGUCGGGAAUAUUGCGCAAUGGAGGAAACUCUGACGCAGUGACGCCGCGUAUGGGAAGAAGGUUUUCGGAUUGUAAACCAUUUUAGACAAGGAAGAAACAAGACAGUACUUGUAGAAUAAGCUCCGGCUAACUACGUGCCAGCAGCCGCGGUAAUACGUAGGGAGCAAGCGUUAUCCGGAUUUAUUGGGUGUAAAGGGUGCGUAGACGGGAAGGUAAGUUAGUUGUGAAAUCCCUCGGCUCAACUGAGGAACUGCGACUAAAACUGCUUUUCUUGAGUGCUGGAGAGGAAAGUGGAAUUCCUAGUGUAGCGGUGAAAUGCGUAGAUAUUAGGAGGAACACCAGUGGCGAAGGCGACUUUCUGGACAGUAACUGACGUUGAGGCACGAAAGUGUGGGGAGCAAACAGGAUUAGAUACCCUGGUAGUCCACACCGUAAACGAUGGAUACUAGGUGUAGGGGAUAUUAAGUCUUCUGUGCCGUCGCAAACGCAGUAAGUAUCCCACCUGGGG